UACGUAGGUGGCAAGCGUUGUCCGGAUUUAUUGGGUUUAAAGGGUGCGUAGGCGGCCUUGUAAGUCAGUGCUGAAAUAUCCCGGCUUAACCGGGAGGGUGGCAUUGAUACUGCAGGGCUUGAGUAAAGUUGAGGUUGGCGGAAUUGACGGUGUAGCGGUGAAAUGCGCAGAUAUCAGGAGGAACACCGAUGGCGAAGGCAGGUCUCUGGGCCACUACUGACGCUGAGAAGCGAAAGCAUGGGGAGCGAACAGG
rnacentral:rRNA from 1 species